rnacentral:rRNA from 1 species
CAGUCGCCGCGGGAAUACGGAGGGUGCAAGCGUUAAUCGGAAUUACUGGGCGUAAAGCGCACGCAGGCGGCUUGUUAAGUCAGAUGUGAAAUCCCCAGGCUCAACCUGGGAACUGCAUCUGAUACUGGCAAGCUUGAGUCUCGUAGAGGGGGGUAGAAUUCCAGGUGUAGCGGUGAAAUGCGUAGAGAUCUGGAGGAAUACCGGUGGCGAAGGCGGCCCCCUGGACGAAGACUGACGCUCAGGUGCGAAAGCGUGGGGAGCAAACAGGAUUAGAUACCCCAGUAGUCCCUGUCUCUUAUAC